GCGCGGCUCAGGGUCUGAAUGAACAGGCUCUCCUGCUCUCCUGUUCCACUUUGUGAACAUAUUAAUAGGUCUAAAUAUUAUUUUGCUGGCAGGUUCUGGAGCAGCACCCCGACGGACGCUGGAAAGGCUGUAUCCAUGACAACCGAACAGGAAACGACCGGGUGGGCUACUUCCCGUCCACCAUGGUGGAGGUCAUCAGCAAGCGCACAGGUUUGGCCAGCACAGUCAUUUGCACUCAACAGUUUCAAAAGAUACCGCUGGUUCCCCCGGCGACGGUUGCCCCUGCCAACGCGGUAGUCAACGGCAACGACACCACGUUCCAUCAGAUCCAUAUCCUGCCUCCACCGCCUCCUCCUCCACCACAUUCCCAUCAGCCACUGCUUCCACUUUUCACUUCCUUUGGCUAUAGCAGGUCGCCCGUGACAACCCCACAGGGAGACACACCCACUGCCCCAGGUGGAGACCGGAGCAGUGUGGGCAGUUCUGGUAGCGUGACAAGUUUGAGGUCUUCAGGCAGCGGUCAGAGCGCCGGCAGCGCCGCACACAUCCUCCAUGCACAAGCUGAGGGCGUGAAGGUACCACAGACACACACACAGACACACACAGACACACACACAGACACACACAGACACACACACAGACACACACAGACACACAAAGGUGUAGCGUAACUAAAACUUUUCCUUUUACCUCAACUGCAAAUUUCCCUAUUUCAUCUACAGAGGAAUGUUAGUGCCAAAAAAA
ensembl:lncRNA